UUCUCUGCAUAUACCACACGCACAAUCUCGUCUGAUCUCUGAAGCUAAGCAGGGUUGGGCCCGGAUACUUGGAUGAAAGAAUCCAAGGUACCACAGUAG
rnacentral:rRNA from 1 species